UACCUGGUUGAUCCUGCCAGUAGUCAUAUGCUUGUCUUUAAGACUAAGCCAUGCAAGUCUAAGUAUAAGCAAUUUAUACAGCGAAACUGCAGAUGGCUCAUUAAAACAGUAAUCGUUUAUUUGAUGGACAAAUCCACAUGGAUACCUGUGGGAAUUCCAGAGCUAAUACAUGCAAGAAGUCCCAACUCACGAAGGGAUGUAUUUGUUAGACUAAACACCAAUGCCUUUCGAGGCUUUAGUGAUUUAUAGCAACUAGCGAACCGUAUGGCCUUGAGCCGACGGUGCUUCAUUCAAAUUUCUGCCCUAUCAGCUUUCGAAGGUAGGAUAUGGGCUUACCUUGGCUUUAACGGGUGACGGAGAAUUAGGGUUCGGUUCCGGAGAGGGAGCCUGAGAAACGGCUACCACAUCCAAGGAAGGCAGCAGGCGCGCAAAUUACCCACUCCUGACACAGGGAGGUAGUGACAAGAAAUAACAAUAGACGGGCUUAUUGGUUCGUCUAAUUGGAAUGAGAACAAUGUAAAAAACUUAACGAGGAUCCAUUGGAGGGCAAGUCUGGUGCCAGCAGCCGCGGGUAAUUCCAGCUCCAAUAGC
rnacentral:rRNA from 1 species